AAUGAACGCUGGCGGCGCGCCUAAUACAUGCAAGUCGAGCGAGAAGACGUAGCAAUACGUUUGUAAAGCGGCGAACGGGUGAGGAAUACAUGGGUAACCUACCCUCGAGUGGGGAAUAACUAGCCGAAAGGUUAGCUAAUACCGCGUACGCUCCUUGGACUUCGGUUCAGGGAGGAAAGCGAUACCGUGGGUAUCGCGCUCUUGGUUGGGCUCAUGUCCUAUCAGCUUGUUGGUGAGGAACGGCUCACCAAGGCUUCGACGGGUAGCUGGUCUGAGAGGACGAUCAGCCACACUGGCACUGCGACACGGGCCAGACUCCUACGGGAGGCAGCAGUAAGGAAUAUUGCGCAAUGGGCGAAAGCCUGACGCAGCGACGCCGCGUGGGGGGUGAAGGUCUUCGGAUUGUAAACCCC
rnacentral:rRNA from 1 species